rnacentral:misc_RNA from 1 species
UUUAGGAUCCGAGUGAAAAACAACAUGAUCCUUAUUCAAGACUGGGUAGAGGUUUUCCUUCAUCUGGGAUGCCUGUGAUUCUUCUAUCGGGGCUGAUGGAGCACCCUCCUAUGGUUGAUAAAUUGACAAAAGGGAAUCCUGUAAGCGAGUUUCCGAAUUCAAACAUGGCAAGGCCCCGCGCUGGAGAAUCCAUCUUGUGCGCGCCAUCUUGCCGUAGCCAUAUUGAAUGAGAUGCCACUUUUGACAGGAGUCCACCUGACCGUGCACGUUGAUAUCCUGUUGAUGUCCGAUGAGUCAGAGAAACGGUCGAUACGUUUUUCGCUUACUCGCAUUUUUAAGCGUCAACUGCCGCACAAAUGAUGACGGUCGGACUGCUUAACGAGGCGGAAUCGAAGGAGGCUGAAAUAACCGCGGUAUCGAUGUUACGAUAAAAAGCUGGGGCCGUCGACGGGGCUGCACGCGGCGCUGCGCGACCUGAACCGGCGGGGAAUGGCGGCGCGGCCGCUGAACGUCGCCCACUCCGUGGACAUCGAGGCCUUCUACGAGCGGCACCUCUCCCGGCCGCUGUUCGCCGUUCUGCUCCGGACGAGCGGAGACCUCGACGGCUUCGUCGACUUCGCGGCGACCUUUCCGAUGCGCAUCCCCCACUGGCUGGUGCUCUUCUCCAGGGACAGCGGCAACGCCUCUCUGGCCUACUGUCGCGACCCCGUGGACAAUUCGUUUCGCUUCCGGUUCGACACGCAUUCUCUGGUUAAAUGCGCCGACGACCCGGAAGUGCACGAGUGGUACGUCGUGCGCAGAAACCGGAUAUCGAGAUUUCAUUUGGCCAACUGGGAGAACGGUCGCCUCGUCGCGACCACGAGCCUCACUCUCUACCUGAGGAGGAACAACCUCGACGGGAAGACCCUGCGAGUCGUCACGAUGGACUCGGGCUUCGUCCAGAUACGGGACGGCAGGAUUCUCGGGCUGGGCGGAAGCAUCUUGGAGCAGCUCAGCGAGACCUUGAAGUUCAAGAUAAACGUGGUGAAAAGGGAGCUGGACUACGGCAGUCCGAUCGCCCGCAACAGGAGCUGGUCGGGCACCAUCGGGCAGAUUCAUUCGGGCAACGCCGACCUCGGUGCCGCCGAAUUGACCAUGUCGGCCGACAGGAUGGAAGUCGUCGACUUUACCCUGCCCCUGAUGACGUCGAGGAAUCUGCUGUAUCUGCGGAAGCCCGACGGCUCCGGGGUCCAGUGGUCGGGCUACUUUAAGACGUUCAGCCGAGGGAUAUGGGCAACCAUAGUGGGCUUGAUCGUCGCCACGCCGGCAAUCGUCACCUCGAUAAAGCGAUGCAAGCGGUGUUGCGCCUCGUCGAGUCGAGUCAGCGACAAUUACCUUAACGUGUGGGGCAUCUUUUGUCAGCAAGGAUUGUCCGAAUAUCCCCUGGACACCUCGCUGAGGUUGGCUUACUUUUCGACCUUCGUCUCGGCCCUGAUAGUGUCGGCCGCGUAUUCCGCCUCUCUGAUUAGUUUUCUAGCGGUGUCUGCGCCCAGUUUGCCGUUUUCGACUCUCGACGGGUACGUCAACGACGGCUCUUACAAGCUCAUAGUCUUUCGAAGCAGCUCCUACUACGAUAUGUUCAAGGAUUCGAAGGAUCCCGUGUACUCGAAAAUGAUGGGUUUGAUGAAAAGGGAAGAGGAAUUGCCGAAAACGACGCUGAAUGCUUGCCUGCAGGUCUGUAAACAAAGGGUAGCGCUUUAUUUAAACGAGGACACGAGGAACGCGUUACGGACUCCAUUGCCGUGUCAACUAGUGACCGUUGAAACGGGGAGACUCGACAGGAUGGCGAUGGCAUUGACCAAGCACAGUCAGUACACCAGACUGUUCAAUUUCAUGUAAGCGCGGUCCGAAUUGCUUUCCUCGGAAAGCGUCGUGGAACGAGUUCCCAGCCCGGGAACCGCGAGGGCGUCAGUUUUUCAAGCAAAAGGCUGCGAAGAACCGCUCUCCGAAACAAAGGAAAGAAACGGAGCCCGACGGCAAACUUAAAAGCGGACAAA